ensembl:lncRNA
AUUGUAACUAGCGCAGUUGCUAGUAAAGAGCUAGCUAGUUACUCUAAGAUUGUAACUAGCCCAGUUGCUAGUAAAGAGCUAGCUAAUAUUGUAAAUAGCUCAGUUGCUAAUAAAGAGCUAUCUAAUAUUGUAAAUAGCUCAGUUGCUAGUAAAGAGCUAGCUAGUUACUCUAAGAUUGUGUUUUAGCAUUAAACAUCGUAUCCUAAUCAAUAUCUUUUAAAGAAAAAAACAUAUCAGUGCCAACCGAAUUAAUGUUUGUCUUUAAAAAUGGAUUAGCAUAUGUAGCUAUUACUAGCAUGUUGACUAGGAAGCUAGUUUGCUAGCUAGCCCUGUUUGUGUUGCACAGCGAAAUAGUUCAUGUAACCCUGUUGCGAUUUAUAAACGUGUUCCCAAACCGUCGUAUCCGCCGGUGCAAUUCCUCAUCUCGUUGAACUUGCGAUGUCAUUUCCUGUCCUCUGUCUCACACUGGAUAUUGUUUUCUCCCCCUCAUGUAAUGGAUUGUGAAUGAAAGUAAGCACGAGGUUAAAUAUUUACUACGCACGGUGGCAGUAAAAUAAAGAGACGAAACUUUGAACUUGCCCAUGAGUUUGAACACGCAAUGAACGCCGUGAGAAGCUAAAACCCCACCUCGAAGUUCAGACGUUGCUGGUUCCAAACAUGAGUUCGGCUCCGUACUCACACGGAGAUAAAAGACAGGCUGAUAAAAGGAGAGAGUUCCGGAAGCGUGACUGGUCCAUCGAGCAACCUCCUCUCUUGCCAGAGGAAGACUCUCAUCCUCAAUCAUCAGGACCCGACGGCGUACAUGAAGGGCAACGUGUCAAGAGCGAGACCGGUUCCAUUCCAAAAUGACGACAAGGAGGACAAAGCUGGGAUAAUGCAUGUGUGAUCUGCUGAAAAGAUGACGAACUGUUCGUCCUUAUUCCAGCAACAGAGCAUAUAAACACAGACCUACACCCAAUUUAACUGGUAACACCUAAACAACGAGUUCAUUUUAUGAAUUUAAAGGAUUUGCUGUGACAUGUUUUGUUCUUGUUGUUGUUUUUUUUUUUUUGCAUUUAAAAAAACUUCCUAUAUUUACAGCAUUAAUUCCAAGUGAUUGUAAUUCUAUAAUCGUCCACUAGAGGCCACUAGACAGAUAGCGAAAACUGACUUGGGGGGGACAUUUCAUAUGAAAAAAGAAGAGAGACAGAAAGAUGGAAACAGAUGCGGUCAUUAUGAUGGCGGUGUGUAUUCACCACAGCACAACAAUGGCAGAGAUGUUUUUCAGACAAAGACAGAGAACGAUGGAUUCUUUGAAUCGUAUCUUCUUAUACCUAUUUUAUGUACUGAGUUUUUUUCUUCUUCUUCUUUUGUUCUGUUCUCUCUGAAUAUGGCCUAUUCAGCGAGGCUGAUGCACUCUGUAAAUAAAUGAAUGAAUAAAACCGGUUUUCUGGGUUAGUCACUAAUUUUGUUUAUACUGAACACCAGCUUCUAGUGGUAGUGUAGGAAAUAAUACACACUAUAUGCCAUGUACAGAGUUGGGUUAUGCGUGCGGUGAGGAUUUAAUACCGUUAUCAGUGUUCAGAUCUCAGAUUUUAUGUUUUGGCUUUUAAAAACAAACACUAAAAAAUGUGGUGUGCCUUUUGAGGGUUAUAUUAAAUGCAUAAAUAUUACACUGUUCAUUCUUUUAAAAUGCACAAGGUUUUUCAUCGGAAGAGACACGUCUUAAUCAGAGACACCGCUUAAAGGAAUGACUUGAAUUUUUAUGCAUAAAAUAAUGAAUUAAUUUCAAGUGUAGCGCUUGGUCAGCUUAUCCUUCAAACCCUGAGCAUGCUUUCUUUACAGCAGGGCUAAUAGCUUACGUCUUUUAACACACGUAAGUGUCGAGACUCACACUAAAACAUGAGGUCAUGCAAAAUGAAUCAAAAUUUGUUUUGCACCAACAUUGGAAGUUACACUGUCCUACACAA